rnacentral:lncRNA from 10 species
AUCACUGUCCUUUUUCUUUGGUGUUCUUCAUCUAUCCCAUAAAUACAUAUGUUGAUUAAGUGGUAAUUAUUAGGCAACUGGACCCAAACAGCAUAUGAAAGACGGAAUAAGAGGGGGAAAGAUCUAAGAGUGUUUUGGGAUCCUCAACGUGCCUGUCUUUACAUUAGAGAAACCCAGUUUUAAAUUAAUAGUGCUAGUUCUCUACCUCCCUGUAGAUUAAGUUUACCCCAGGGAAAACAGGACAUGGAUUGAUCGUUUAAUCCUUAUCCCAAACUCAAAAUUACCCUUGCACUAUCUGACAUUGAUUGAGUAAAUAGAUUAGCCAAGAAAGACAAUUCAAUCAGCAGAGAGGCCUGAGAAUUCUCUUGAACUUUGUUUAAAAGCACCCUGAAAUUUGAGCUUCUUGGGAGCAUUUGCUUCCAACCAUUUUCUAAAUUGAAAUUGCAUUCCACUUCCCUAAGACCACAGCCUUUUUCUAAGACAGGAUUAUGGGAACUCUGAACUAUCUAAGCAGAAGUUGUGUGUCUGAGAAUAAAACUGGAAUGAACAAAUCUAUAAAGCAAUAGAACAAUAACCCCAACAAAGACAGCAUGAUUCACAUUGCAAAUGACAGGAAGAAAAAAUAAACAAGGGAGCGUUCACCUCAGAAAAGACAACCACGAUGACAAUGAUGAGACCUGAGAUGACAAAAAUAAAAGGACAGCAAGCCCUGUGGAAAACAAAGCCCUUCGGAAUCGAUUUUUAAAAUCUAGCUACAUCCUGUUUCCAAGAGACAAGCCUAAUGCAAAGUGAAUCAAAAGCAUUAAGUGGAAAAAAGUGGGGGUGAUCUAAAAUACAUCAGAAAUACAAAGGAAAUAGAAGAGUAAUACUAAUUUUAAAAAAUACUUCUAUUAACUGCCAGGCGCG